rnacentral:lncRNA from 1 species
GGGUUAUUCUCACAAAAAGGACAAGUUAAUAGUUCAUUCCGAAAUGAUGGCUUAAAAGCUGCUGAUGUCCUUCCUAUACUAAAGGAGAAAGUGGCCUUUGUGUCAGGUGGCCGUGAUAAACGAGGUGGUCCUGUCUUGACCUUCCCAGCCCGCAGCAAUCAUGACAGAAUAAGGCAGGAAGACCUUCGGAAACUUGUGACUUAUUUGGCCAGCGUGCCAAGUGAAGAUGUCUGUAAACGAGGAUUCACUGUUAUCAUCGAUAUGCGGGGAUCAAAAUGGGAUUUGAUCAAACCUCUCCUAAAGACCCUUCAAGAAGCCUUUCCUGCCGAGAUUCACGUUGCCCUGAUUAUAAAACCUGAUAAUUUCUGGCAGAAGCAGAAAACGAACUUCGGCAGUUCCAAGUUCAUCUUUGAGACAAGUAUGGUAUCUGUUGAAGGCCUGGCAAAACUCGUAGAUCCUUCCCAACUGACAGAUGAGUUUGAAGGAUCAUUGGAUUACAACCACGAUGAAUGGAUAGAGUUGCGUGUCUCCUUAGAAGAAUUUUUCAACAGUGCCAUUCAUCUAUUAUCAAGACUGGAGGACCUUCAGGAAAUGUUGGGCUCAAGGAGGCUGAUUGAUGAGCACACACAGCUUAAGAAAAAAGUGAUUAAAGCUCCUGUGGAAGAACUGGAUCGUGAGGGUCAGAGGUUAUUACAAUGUAUAAGAUGCAGUGAUGGUUUUUCUGGUAGGAACUGCAUUCCUGGAAGUGCAGACUUUCAAAGUCUUGUGCCAAAGAUCACCAGCCUUUUAGACAAGCUGCAUUCUACCAGACAACAUUUGCAUCAGAUGUGGCAUGUCCGCAAGCUAAAACUGGACCAGUGCUUUCAACUCCGGCUUUUUGAGCAAGAUGCUGAGAAGAUGUUUGACUGGAUCAGCCACAACAAAGAAUUGUUCCUGCAGAGCCACACAGAGAUUGGCGUGAGCUAUCAACAUGCCCUUGACCUACAGACACAGCACAAUCAUUUUGCCAUGAAUUCAAUGAAUGCCUAUGUCAACAUCAAUCGGAUCAUGUCUGUUGCAUCUAGGCUUUCUGAGGCAGGCCAUUAUGCGUCCCAGCAAAUUAAACAAAUUUCUACCCAGCUGGAUCAAGACACCAUUUUAGCCAUGUCCGCUGUCUUUCACCAGAAAGCUGAACAGUUCCUUUCAGGUGUGGAUGCCUGGUGUAAAAUGUGCAGUGAAGGAGGGCUCCCCUCUGAGAUGCAAGAUCUGGAACUGGCAUACACAGAGGUGAGCCAGGAUGGGAAAGCCUUGCUGGAUGUCUUACAGCGUCCCUUGAGCCCUGGGAACUCUGAAUCCCUCACUGCUACUGCAAAUUACUCCAAGGCUGUUCACCAGGUGUUGGAUGUGGUACAUGAAGUCCUACAUCACCAGCGGCGUCUAGAGAGCAUCUGGCAACACCGAAAAGUCCGGCUACAUCAGAGGCUGCAACUCUGCGUUUUCCAGCAGGAUGUUCAACAGGUACUGGACUGGAUUGAAAAUCACGGGGAAGCCUUUCUGAGUAAACACACAGGAGUUGGGAAGUCUCUACAUAGAGCACGUGCACUGCAGAAAAGACACGAUGAUUUUGAAGAGGUAGCACAGAAUACGUACACCAAUGCAGACAAGCUUUUAGAGGCUGCAGAGCAGCUGGCUCAGACUGGGGAAUGUGACCCUGAAGAGAUCUAUAAAGCAGCCCGGCAUCUGGAAGUACGGAUUCAGGACUUUGUCCGGAGGGUGGAACAGAGGAAACUUCUCUUGGACAUGUCAGUCUCCUUCCAUACCCACACCAAAGAGCUGUGGACAUGGAUGGAAGAUCUGCAGAAGGAGCUCUUAGAGGAUGUCUCAUCCACCUGGAGGACAGCCGUUUCCAACAAUAAGACUCCACACAAUAGCUCCAUCAGCCACAUCGAAUCUGUACUUCAGCAGCUCGACGAGGCCCAGGUACAGAUGGAAGAGCUCUUCCAUGAGAGGAAGAUUAAGCUAGAUAUUUUUCUUCAGCUCCGGAUUUUUGAACAGUACACCAUCGAGGUUACAGCAGAGUUAGAUGCCUGGAAUGAAGAUCUGCUGAGACAAAUGAAUGAUUUCAAUACUGAAGACCUCACUCUGGCUGAACAACGUCUGCAGCGUCACACUGAGCGGAAAUUGGCCAUGAACAACAUGACCUUUGAAGUCAUCCAACAAGGGCAAGAUUUACACCAAUACAUCAUGGAGGUCCAGGCUUCAGGCAUUGAGCUGAUCUGUGAAAAGGACAUUGAUCUUGCAACACAAGUUCAAGAGCUGCUGGAAUUCCUUCAUGAGAAACAGCAUGAGCUGGAGCUUAAUGCUGACCAAACUCACAAGAGGUUAGAGCAGUGCCUACAGCUUCGGCACCUACAGGCUGAGGUCAAGCAGGUGCUUGGCUGGAUCCGGAAUGGUGAAUCAAUGCUGAAUGCAAGCCUUGUCAAUGCAAGCUCCCUUUCUGAAGCUGAGCAGCUCCAGCGAGAGCAUGAACAAUUUCAGCUGGCCAUAGAGAAGACACACCAGAGUGCCCUGCAGGUCCAGCAGAAAGCCGAAGUCCUGCUGCAGGCAGGGCAUUAUGAUGCUGAUGCCAUCAGAGAAUGUGCUGAAAAGGUGGCCCUGCACUGGCAACAGCUGAUGCUGAAGAUGGAGGACAGGCUCAAACUGGUCAAUGCUUCAGUGGCCUUCUAUAAAACCUCUGAGCAGGUGUGCAGUGUAUUAGAGAGCCUGGAGCAAGAAUACAGACGGGAUGAAGAUUGGUGUGGAGGUCGAGAUAAACUUGGACCAGCAGCUGAGAUAGACCACGUCAUCCCGCUGAUCAGCAAACAUCUGGAGCAGAAGGAGGCUUUUCUCAAGGCCUGCACUCUGGCACGAAGAAAUGCCGAGGUAUUCCUCAAGUACAUCCACAGGAACAAUGUUAGCAUGCCUGGAGUAGCAAGCCAUACCAGGGGGCCUGAGCAGCAAGUGAAAGCCAUUUUGAGUGAGUUGCUGCAGAGGGAGAACCGGGUCCUUCACUUCUGGACCCUGAAAAAGCGACGAUUAGACCAGUGCCAACAGUACGUUGUCUUCGAGCGUAGUGCCAAGCAGGCCUUAGACUGGAUCCAAGAAACAGGCGAAUAUUACCUCUCUACUCACAACUCCACAGGGGAAUCGGCUGAGGAAACUCAGGAACUCCUGAAGGAAUAUGGGGAAUUCAGAGUACCUGCAAAGCAAACAAAGGAGAAAGUGAAGCUCCUCAUCCAGCUGGCUGACAGCUUUGUAGAAAAAGGACAUAUGCACGCCACUGAAAUCAGGAAGUGGGUCACCACUGUUGACAAACGCUACCGUGACUUCUCUCUCAGAAUGGGGAAAUACCGCUACUCCCUGGAAAAAGCCCUUGGAAUCAAUACAGAGGAUAACAAGGACCUAGAACUAGAUAUUAUUCCAGCAAGUCUUUCAGAUCGGGAGGUAAAGCUGCGAGAUGCAAAUCAUGAAGUCAAUGAAGAAAAAAGAAAAUCGGCCAGAAAGAAAGAAUUCAUUAUGGCUGAGCUGCUUCAGACAGAAAAAGCUUAUGUCAGGGAUUUACAUGAAUGUUUAGAGACUUACCUUUGGGAAAUGACAAGUGGAGUGGAAGAAAUACCCGCUGGGAUCCUUAAUAAAGAACACAUCAUCUUUGGCAAUAUUCAGGAGAUAUAUGACUUUCAUAACAAAGUCAAAAUGCUAAACAAAGAAAUGCAGAGAUACAGAGCUGACAUUUGUUAUGGGUGGUUCCGUCUGGAAAUUCAGCAAAGGCAUGGUCUGGCGAAUUCUAUCUCUUCUUAUUUAAUCAAGCCCGUCCAGAGGAUCACAAAAUACCAACUCCUACUGAAGGAACUGCUAACCUGCUGUGAGGAAGGCAAAGGGGAGCUCAAAGAUGGUCUGGAAGUGAUGCUCAGUGUCCCCAAGAAGGCCAAUGACGCAAUGCACGUCAGCAUGCUGGAAGGGUUUGAUGAGAACCUGGACGUCCAGGGAGAGCUGAUCCUUCAGGAUUCCUUCCAAGUGUGGGAUCCCAAGUCUUUAAUUCGGAAAGGCCGUGAGAGGCAUUUGUUUCUCUUUGAAAUCUCUUUGGUGUUUAGCAAAGAGAUCAAAGAUUCUUCAGGACAUACAAAAUAUGUUUACAAGAACAAGCUACUGACCUCAGAACUGGGAGUAACUGAACAUGUGGAAGGAGACCCCUGUAAAUUUGCUUUGUGGUCUGGACGAACACCAUCCUCAGACAAUAAAACAGUGCUGAAAGCGUCCAGUAUUGAAACAAAACAAGAAUGGAUCAAAAACAUCCGGGAAGUCAUUCAAGAAAGGAUUAUCCAUCUGAAAGGAGCUCUGAAAGAGCCAAUUCAGCUCCCCAAGACACCAGCAAAGCAGCGAAACAACAGUAGAAGAGAUGGAGUAGAUGAUGCAGACAGCCAAGGAGACGGCAGCAGUCAACCAGACACCAUUUCCAUUGCAUCCAGGACAUCACAGAAUACAGUGGACAGUGAUAAGUUGUCUGGAGGGUGUGAACUAACUGUGGUGCUCCAGGACUUCAUAGCAGGCCACAGCAGCGAGCUGAGCAUUCAGGUGGGGCAGACAGUGGAGCUGCUGGAGAGGCCGAGCGAAAGGCCAGGCUGGUGUUUGGUCCGGACCACGGAGCGGAGCCCACCUCAGGAGGGUCUGGUCCCCAGCAGCGCUCUCUGCAUUUCCCAUUCCCGCAGCAGCGUGGAGAUGGAUUGCUUCUUCCCUUCAGGAAAAGAGGCAUAUUCAGUGUCCUCCAAUGACAACGGGGGCAAGUCAGAUUCGGUGGCCAACCUGCAGCCUCAGCCAUCCCUCAACUCCAUCCAGAGCUCUCCGGGCCCCAAGCGCUCGACCAACACGCUGAAGAAAUGGCUGACCAGCCCUGUGCGCCGGCUGAACAGCGGCAAGACUGAGAGCAACAUCAAGAAGCAGAAGAAGGUGCGAGAUGGCAGGAAGAGCUUUGACCUCGGCUCACCAAAGACCGGAGAUGAAACCACUCCGCAAGGAGACAGCGCCGAUGAGAGCAAGAAGGGUUGGGGAGAAGAUGAGCCAGACGAAGAAUCUCAUACACCUCUUCCUCCUCCCAUGAAGAUUUUUGACAAUGAUCCAACCCAAGAUGAGAUGACCCUUGAAGGAGGAUCUUACCGAGGAACCUUAAAAGAUGCCACUGGCUGCUUAAAUGAAGGAAUGACGCCUUCAACUCCCCCAAGAAACCUUGAAGAGGAACAAAAAGCCAAAGCAAUGAGAGGCAGGAUGUUUGUCUUAAAUGAGCUGGUGCAGACCGAAAAAGACUACGUCAAAGACUUGGGAACUGUUGUGGAGGGCUUCAUGAAGAGAAUAGAAGAAAAAGGAGUUUCCGAAGAUAUGAAAGGGAAAGACAAGAUAGUAUUUGGCAAUAUUCACCAGAUCUAUGACUGGCACAAAGACUUUUUCCUGGCUGAACUGGAAAAAUGUCUUCAAGAGCAUGACCGUUUAGCACAGCUUUUUAUUAAACAUGAGCGUCGAUUACACAUGUAUGUGGUGUAUUGCCAAAAUAAGCCACGAUCUGAAUAUAUAGUAGCUGAGUAUGAGGCAUAUUUUGAGGAGGUUCAACAGGAAAUAAACCAACGACUAACCAUCAGUGAUUUUCUGAUCAAACCCAUUCAAAGAAUAACUAAAUAUCAGCUUCUUCUCAAGGUGAGUGGAAAGAUGGACCCUCUGACUUCCUUGUACCAAUACAACCUUUCAGAUCAUCUCAAGGGACCGUACUGGGUUGGGAUCUGUAACACUGGUGCCUUGUCUGCUUCUCAGGGCAAGCUGACAGCUCAAGGCAAGCUGCUGCAGCAGGACACCUUCUAUGUGACCGAGCAGGAUUCUGGAGUUCAGUCCCGACCAAAGGAACGUAGGGUGUUUCUCUUUGAGCAAAUAGUUAUCUUCAGUGAACUGCUUAGGAAAGGAUCUUUAACACCAGGCUACAUGUUCAAGAAAAGCAUAAAGAUGAACUACCUUAUCAUUGAAGAAAAUGUGGACAAUGAUCCUUGCAAGUUUGCUCUGAUGAGCCGGGAAACAUCAGAGAGAGUUAUUUUACAGGCAGCUAAUCCAGAAAUUCAGCAAGCUUGGGUACAGGACAUCAACCAGGUUCUGGACACACAAAGAGAUUUCCUAAAUGCGCUACAGUCUCCCAUAGAGUACCAACGCAAAGAAAGUAGCUCAGCAGUGCUGAGGCCCCAGACCGGUAGGGUCUCUCAGCCCAACAGCAGACCCUAUUCUUCUGUUCCAGUAGGGUCUGAGAAGCCUUUGAAGGCUACAAGCCGUAAUCCCUCUCUCCCACCCCUGAAGAUAUCUACCUCCAACGGCAGCACAGGGUAUGAACAUUCACAGCCCGGAGACAAGUACGAACAAAGCAAGACUGAUUUGGGAGGGUGCAAUGGGACCUCUUCCAUGGUUGUGAUUAAAGAUUACUAUGCACUGAAGGAGGAUGAGAUCUGUGUGAAUCAAGGAGAGGUGGUUCAGAUCCUCGCUAUCAACCAGCAGAACAUGUUCCUGGUGUACCAGCCUGCAAACGACCACUCUCCGGCUGCUGAAGGAUGGAUCCCUGGCAAUAUCUUGGCUCCCCUCACUAAAUCCACCACAGAUAGUAGCGACGGAAGCAUCAAGUAA